rnacentral:tRNA from 1 species
ACUUGUCUAGUUCAGUCGGUAGAGUGCAAGGCUUUCAGCCUUGUGGUCGUGGGUUCAAGCCCCAUGCUGGGCA